rnacentral:lncRNA from 1 species
AAAAAAGUUAAUAUGUAAGAACGGUGUAUUUUUUUGCGCUGUGACUGGCUUUUUUACGUUUCACUAAAAUAGUAAUGCAGUGUGACAAAUACAUUUUUAAAAGUUGAAAUAAUCAAUCUAGUCUCGCAAUUAAUAUGAUAACUUAAAUGUGCAUAUACAAAAAUAAAAAUACAAAAAAAGUAAAAUAGUUUAAUUUAAAAAAAAUAAAAAUAAAACUACACUCUAUAAACCCUAGAGAAUAAAUCAAAUCUUCAGCAGAUAGUAAAAAUGUGUUCGAGUGUAGUCCGCGUGCUGUGAGACAGUGAGGAGUGAUGAUCACGUGACGCGGGCGUUCUGUAGGCUACUGUAGCCUCGGCUUGAUUCUUUGAAAGAGGAAACGCGCCGCACUCGCUCCUCACUGGCAUCAUCUCCCUAGAGAAUAAAUCAAAUCUUCAGCAGAUAGUAAAAAUGUGUUCGAGUGUAGUCCGCGUGCUGUGAGACAGUGAGGAGUGAUGAUCACGUGACGCGGGCGUUCUGUAGGCUACUGUAGCCUCGGCUUGAUUCUUUGAAAGAGGAAACGCGCCGCACUCGCUCCUCACUGGCAUCAUCUCUGAGGGAACAGAGCUCAGAACAUAUUUUGUUUAUUUACGCUACAAUUAGCUAACUAAAUAACCUAAGCAGCCGGUCGUUUUUCUUUAACCUCAUCAUUUUGCUAUUUUACCACUAUUACGCCCAACAACCAUUAGAAACGCCAACCUUUCUUCGAAGACUACACCUGUCCCAGCAUCAUCUGAGUGAGAUUCCGCAAAGCUACUGUGUGUCAGGGGCUGCUACAGACUAAUUAACCUCCUGGUGUCCUUCCCGUAUCAGCUGUUCACAAAUUAACCAGUCCUGUUUCUACCUCCAUGUGUCCCUACAAAGCAUAUCGAGAAAGAGAGAGGGAAAGAAAGGAAGAAAGAAAGAGAGAGGGAGUUGAGUGAAAAUGGUGAGGAUAUAUUAUGUAUAUGAAGUUUUAAUGUAUUAAUUUUGGAGUAGGGGUGUGCCGGUUUCAGAAUUGGUGAUGACGGUUAUGACGUGAGUCAAAUGUGACGGGGGGGGUCAUAACCGUCGGGUUCAUGUCACACUGUUUAACCACACUUAAAUAGAAUACACACACAGUGAACAAAAACCUUACAACAAAAAAAAAAAAACUUUGCAAUGAACGUGCUUUGUUUUAAAUAAAUCACACACAGUAAAC